rnacentral:misc_RNA from 1 species
GCCAUCUCCAUCAACAUCACCUAUUGUUGGGCCCUGAGAAACAAGACUCUUGAGAUGCCUCUCCCAAAUUUCUUUUCCUUGUGACGUCCACGCAGCAACAUUUCCAUGUGUAUCAGUAGUCACUAGUUCAAUUUUGCCAUCAUCAUUGAUGUCAGCUGCAACUACAGCUCCUUGAAUUUCAGCCAUUUCUAAAGGAAACUUUUCUCUAAUAUUUCCAUGAUGAUCCAAGACAUAGAACAAGCCAAAUGAAGUUCCAACGAGAAUAUCCAAAUUUCCA